rnacentral:rRNA from 1 species
UACGGAAGGCAGCAGUGGGGAAUAUUGCACAAUGGGCGCAAGCCUGAUGCAGCCAUGCCGCGUGUAUGAAGAAGGCCUUCGGGUUGUAAAGUACUUUCAGUCGUGAGGAAGGUGUUAAGGUUAAUAACCUUAGCAAUUGACGUUAGCGACAGAAGAAGCACCGGCUAACUCCGUGCCAGCAGCCGCGGUAAUACGGAGGGUGCGAGCGUUAAUCGGAAUUACUGGGCGUAAAGGGCACGCAGGCGGUUAAUUAAGUUGGAUGUGAAAUCCCCGGGCUUAACCUGGGAAUGGCAUUCAAGACUGGUUAGCUAGAGUCUUGUAGAGGGGGUAGAAUUCCAUGUGUAGCGGUGAAAUGCGUAGAGAUGUGGAGGAAUACCGGUGGCGAAGGCGGCCCCUGGGACAAAGGACUGACGCUCAUGUGCGAAGCGUGGGGAGCAAACGAGGGAUUAGAUACC